GAUGAACGCUGGCGGCGUGCUUAAUACAUGCAAGUCGAGCGAACAGAUGCGGAGCUUGCCUCUCUGACGUUAGCGGGGGACGGGAGAGUAACACGCGGAUAAACUAGCUAUAAGUAUGGGAUCACUACGGGAAAUAGGAGCUCAUACCGGCUAAUAUAUAGAACCGCAUGGCUCAAUAGUGAAAGCGGGUUUUGCUGCCACUUAUAGAUGGAUCAGUGUCGCAUUAGCUAGUUGGUAAGGUAACGGCUUACCAAGGCAACGAUGCGUAGCCGGCCUGAGAGGGUGAUCAGCCACACUGGGACUGAGACACGGUCCAGACUCCUACGGGAGGCAGCAGUAGGGAAUCUUGGACAAUGGGCGAAAGCCUGACGCAGCAACGCCGCGUGAAGGAUGAAGGUCUUCGGGUCGUAAAACGCUGUUGUAAGGGAAGAACAAGUGUUGGUGAAACUAUGCACCUCUUGACGGUACCGUAUCAAUAAGCCCCGGCUAACUACGUG
rnacentral:rRNA from 1 species